UAGGCGGUUCUAUGUAAAUAUAAGCAGUUCUAUGUAAAUAUAAGCGGUUCUAUGUAAAUAUAAGCAGUUCUAUGUAAAUAUAAGCGGUUCUAUGUAAAUAUUAGCAGUUCUAUGUAAAUAUAAGUGGUUCUAUGUAAAUCUAA